rnacentral:rRNA from 1 species
UACGUAGGUCCCGAGCGUUGUCCGGAUUUAUUGGGCGUAAAGCGAGCGCAGGUGGUUUAAUAAGUCUGAUGUAAAAGGCAGUGGCUCAACCAUUGUGUGCAUUGGAAACUGGUAGACUUGAGUGCAGGAGAGGAGAGUGGAAUUCCAUGUGUAGCGGUGAAAUGCGUAGAUAUAUGGAGGAACACCGGUGGCGAAAGCGGCUCUCUGGCCUGUAACUGACACUGAGGCUCGAAAGCGUGGGGAGCAAACAGG